ACGAGUCUAGAAGCGAUUCGGUCCCGCCGGGACAUGGCACCAUCCCCGGUGGAGGUGUUUGAACUUCCGGAGGAUGAGGAAAAUUCAUGGAUUGUGCGAGUGAAAGUUGUAGCUGGAAUAUCCCCGGCAAAGAAGGAUCUCUUAGGAGCUAGAUUCAUCCUCAACAGCAUUGGCUUCUUUUUGAAGUGUUUGAUGAAAAUCAUUUGGUAAGUU
rnacentral:lncRNA from 1 species